UACGUAGGGGGCGAGCGUUGUCCGGAUUUAUUGGGCGUAAAACGCUUGUAGGCGGCCACCGCGCGUCGGACGUGAAAUCGCCCGGCUCAACUGGGCGGGGUCGGCGGAUACGGCCGAGCUGGAGCAAGCUAGGGGGUAAUGGAAUUCCAGGUGUAGCGGUGAAAUGCGUAGAUAUCUGGAGGAAUACCGGUGGCGAAGGCGGCAUCCUGGACCGGCAUUGACGCUGAGGAGCGAAAGCCAGGGGAGCAAACGGG
rnacentral:rRNA from 1 species